rnacentral:misc_RNA from 1 species
UUAGAGGAGAAAAUCUCGAAGAAACAAGGCCGCCUAGCAUUAACCAUCUCCGCUUGAUUCUCUUUCGCCAUGAAAACAAGUCACAGGCGUUUUACCCCAAACAGCAAAAUCUGACAACUUUCUGGCCACGAGAUAACAUGGGAAAAUAAGAAUUGAAGAAAGAAACAGGAAAAUCGAAGGGAAUUUUAGACUUUGAUUUUAAAGGAGUGAGAGUAAUGGGUAGUUUCAUGCAGUAUGG